UACGAAGGGAACUAGCGUUGUUCGGAAUCACUGGGCGUAAAGCGGGCGCAGGCGGACUAUCAAGUCAGAGGUGAAAGCCCAAGGCUCAACCUUGGAAUUGCCUUUGAAACUGAUAGUCUGGAGUAUGUGAGGGGAUAGCGGAAUUCCAAAUGUAGAGGUGAAAUUCGUAGAUAUUUGGAGGAACACCGGUGGCGAAGGCGGCUAUCUGGCACAUAACUGACGCUGAGGUCCGAAAGCGUGGGGAUCAAACAGG
rnacentral:rRNA from 1 species